GUGGCAGCCGCCGCGGUAAUACGUAGGGUCCAAGCGUUAAUCGGAAUUACUGGGCGUAAAGCGUAGCGCAGGCGGUUGUGCAAGACCGAUGUGAAAUCCCCGGGCUUAACCUGGGAAUUGCAUUGGUGACUGCACGGCUAGAGUGUGUCAGAGGGGGGGUAGAAUUCCACGUGUAGCAGUGAAAUGCGUAGAGAUGUGGAGGAAUACCGAUGGCGAAGGCAGCCCCCUGGGAUAACACUGACGCUCAUGCACGAAAGCGUGGGGAGCAAACAGGAUUAGAUACCCUGGUAGUCCACGCCCUAAACGAUGUCAACUAGUUGUUGGGGAUUCAUUUCCUUAGUAACGUAGCUAACGCGUGAAGUUGACCGCCUGGGGAUACGGUCGCAAGAUUAAAACUUAAAG
rnacentral:rRNA from 1 species